GACGCUGGCCAUGGCCACCCCCCCCCCACAAGCGGCCUGUUUGACUCAUCACCUGCUGUACACCGUUGCACCAGGACCAGGGUUGGUCCUGGUGCAACGGUUUCCUCCGUUACCCGGACUUGGUGCCCUACGCACAGCGCGUAGUGCGCAUUAUGGGACCGGCGGCGCUGUCUACGACGCUACUGCUCCUUAUUGGGGACGGACAGACAGACCGACCAACCCCAGCUGAGGGUGAUUGGACCUGUCCCAGCACCGUUCCCUGAACCACACCCCGCUGCCACACCUGGGUUGUCAGUCUGUUACUCCUUCUGCCCCGGUCGUCUCCACUGUUCCAAUGCGUUCUCUAACUCUCUCUCGCUCCUCGCCUGUAGGGUUCCUGUUUGUUGUGCCUGCCGUCUGUAUGUCAGUUGGCUUUCUUUCACGUCUAUGUCAGUGAGGCUUCCUUCAUGUCUGUAUGUCAGUGGGCUUUCCUUCACGUCUAUGUCAGUGGGCUUUCCUUCUUGUUCAAGCACCGGACAUGGGUUGACAGAGCCUUCUCUUUUUCUGCCCCCUCCCUCUGGAACUCUCUCCACAAACUCAUCCGAGACUGCACCGAUCUUUGCGUUUUCAAAUCACAAAUUGUCAUGUGUUGCCGUCGAGAGAGAGGACCCAAAUGCCGACGUAACUUCCAAACCAAUAUUUAAUUCUGAAUUACAACUACACGGGUAACACAGGUAACACAGGUAACACAGGUAACACAGGACGACCAGCAGUGGAUGAUGGGGGCUGACGUUCAAGCUAACCCUAACCCCCCAAUGAAGACGCUGAUUGGCCAAGAGUCGUCACAUCAAAGAUGUUUUAUGGCGAAGAUCACAACAUUACCUUUCUCCUUGUUACACUGGCUGGCCAGUUGACACCCAACCCUCCCUCCACACGAUUCACGUGCAUGACAUAUUUUGAUUUCAAAACGGCAAAGUUUGGAGGUAUGUAUAUAUAUAUAUGUUUAUAUAUAUGUAUUAUUAUUAUUUUUUCAGAUUUAAGUUUGACUUUUUUUGCAAUAGCUAGCUACUUGCAUUAGCUAACGCAACAUUUCGCUUGAUAAGCUAAAUGUCUUUCGGGGUUCUUCCACAAUAUGCUUCACCCUGAGACUAUAGGGACCAGGAUGGGCCCGCCUCUCACUCAAUGUCAGCUGAGAUUGGGUCCAACAUCCUUGUUAAAGAUCCACUGUUACUGACAAAAGAUAGAUACAUGUUCAUUCUUCACCUUGGGAUACAUUUCUGGUGGUCCACUUAAUUCUGGUCAAUGACCUUUGACCUUUACCCAGUGGAGUCUGUGACUGGUUUAAACCAACUGUUGUCAGGUGAAACUCCAUAGCAAGCAAACAUGAUAUGUAUAGCUCAAUCUGUGGUAAAUAAGAACAGCAUGUAGGAAUGUUGUUGGCAUUUGAGGGUUACUCCUGAACUAGCGAUACAUUAUGUGUAUUAUGUAGUUAUCUACUAAUUGUUGUCUAUUCUUUUUUUCUUUGAAGCAAGCUUAAAAAAGGGUUGAACAGUAAUAAUUUGUAUUAAACAUUAGAUUUCAGAUUAUUAUAUGGACAUUAAUGUGGCACUAUAGUUAUAGAUACAGUAGAAGUACAUAUAGUAGACAAGUCUCUACAAUGUCAAGAUGCUACUGAAAAACAUCAUCAUCGCUUUGCCGGAUUCUCAGGUUUCCUAAAUAAAUCAGUUAAAGCCUUUA